rnacentral:rRNA from 1 species
CACGUAGGGGGCAAGCGUUGUCCGGAUUUAUUGGGCGUAAAGAGCUCGUAGGCGGCUCACUACGUCGGGUGUGAAAUUUCGAGGCUCAACCUCGAAACGCCACCCGAUACUGGUGUGGCUAGAGUCCGGUAGGGGAGCGUGGAAUUCCUGGUGUAGCGGUGAAAUGCGCAGAUAUCAGGAGGAACACCAGCGGCGAAGGCGGCGCUCUGGGCCGGUACUGACGCUGAGGAGCGAAAGCGUGGGGAUCAAACAGG